UCAAUCUCGUGCGGCUAUAUAUACCGCCGGUCCCUCUAAGAAGAUAUUGAUUGUACGCCGGUAGUGAAGACCGCGAUUCGACAUCUCAUACGAACCCNNNCACACACACACGGGCGACGCACUAGACGACGAACCGACGGCACCUCUUGAUACCGGAAGCACGUCUAUUUAAUAGGCUAGAGUUACGUUCGUUAC
rnacentral:rRNA from 1 species